GACCCUGACACGGGGUGCCGCGAGGCUGAGAGAACACCCGUCGAACCUGUUCAGGUCAUGCUGACGAAGGGAAUGUCAUGGCUGCGCCGU
rnacentral:ncRNA from 1 species